rnacentral:rRNA from 1 species
GCCUGCAAGUUUAAGUACAAACUAAAAUAAAGUAAAACCGCAAAAGGCUCAUUAAAUUAGUUAUAGUUCACUUGAGUAAAGACUUUAUAUGGAUAACUGUGGUAAUUCUAGAGCUAAUACAUGCAAUUAAGUCUUGACCAUUGCUGGGAAAGACGCUCUUAUUAGAUCAAAACCAAUCGGUCAGCUCUGCUGGUCCGUUGGAAUAAUGAUGACUCUGAAUAAAAACACAGACCAAAAAGUCUUGCACUUGUGGCUUAUCUUUCAAAUGCCUGACUUAUCAACUUUAGAUGGUAGACUAUAUGUCUACCAUGGUGAUAACGGGUAACGGGGAAUCAGGGUUCGAUUCCGGAGAGGGAGCCUGAGAAACUGCUACCACAUCCAAGGAAGGCAGCAGGCACGCAAAUUACCCACUCCCAGCACGGGGAGGUAGUGACAAAAAAUAACGAUACGGGACUCAUCCGAGGCCCCGUAAUCGGAAUGAGUACACUUUAAAUCCUUUCACCAGGAUCCAUUGGAGGGCAAGUCUGGUGCCAGCAGCCGCGGUAAUUCCAGCUCCAAUAGCGUAUAUUAAAGCUGUUGCGGUUAAAAAGCUCGUAGUUGGUUCUGUGUUCCACGCUGUUGGUUCACCGCAUGUCUGUGUAACUGACAUGUCGUGGGACGUCCUGCCGGUGGUAGUUAAACGCCAGGUGUUCUGGUUUUUGGGGCUUGCGAGCUCCUUGACUAUGAGCCAACUGGUUAGUUUAAAUUACCGAGCGCACUUACCCGCCCUGGUGCUCUUUACUGAGUGUCGAGGAGGGCCGGCACAUUUACUGUGCACAAAUUAGAGUGCUCAAGGCAGGCAAAAUUACGCCUAAAUAGUGGUGCAUGGAAUAAUAGAAUAAGACUUUGGUUUUAUUUUGUUGGUUUUUUGAACCUAAGGUAAUGAUCAAUAUGGACGGUCGGGGGCAUUCGUAUUGCGACGUUAGACUUGGCAAAUGCUUUCGCGGUGAAAUUCUUGGAUCGUCGCAAGACGCACAAAAGCGAAAGCAUUUGCCAAGUACGUCUUAAUUGAUCAAGAACGAAAGUUAGAGGUUCGAAGGCGAUCAGAUACCGCCCUAGUUCUAACCAUAAACGAUGUCAGCCAGCGAUCCGUCGGAGUUUAUAUCAUGACUCGACGGGCAGCUUCCGGGAAACCAAAGCCUUUGGGUUCCGGGGGAAGUAUGGUUGCAAAGCUGAAACUUAAAGGAAUUGACGGAAGGGCACCACCAGCAGUGGAGCUUGCGGCUCAAUUUGACUCAACACGGGCAAUCUCACCAGGCCCUGACAUUCGAAGGAUUGACAGAUUGAUAGCUCUUUCUUAAUUGAGUGGGGAGUGGUGCAUGGCCGUUCUUAGUUGGUGGACCGAUUUGUCUGGUUAAUUCCGAUAACGAACGAGACUCUAACCUACUAACUAGGCGUCCGAUAUCUUGCUAUCGGCGCAAUUCUCUUCUUAGAGGGACAGGCGACUUGUAGUCGCACAAGAUUGAGCAAUAACAGGUCUGUUAUGCCCUCAGAUGUUCUGGGCCGCACGCGUGCUACACUGAAGGAAUCAACGUGUUUUUCCCUUUCCGAAAGGACCGGGUAACCCGCUGAACCUCCUUCGUGCUAGGAAUUGGGGCUUGUAAUUAUUGCCCAUGAACGAGGAAUUCCCAGUAAGCGCGAGUCAUAAGCUCGCGCUGAUUACGUCCCUGCCCUUUGUACACACCGCCCGUCGCUAUUACCGAUUGAAUGAUUUAGUGAGGUCUUCGGACUGGUAAUAAACAAAUGUUUACCUCGUGUGACUUUGUAGUUACUAGAAAGAUGACCGAACUUGAUUAUUUAGAGGAAAUAAAAGUCGUAACAAGGUUAUCU